CAACGUUACUCCUGUAAAGUCAUAUUCAGCUCUGCAAUCAACCUAGACAACUAGAUGCAUCAAUCAAUCGACACCAACACUGGUAGGGACUCGCAGUGACUCUUGGAUGGACAGAUCAUGGCUGCUGCUAACCUCUCCCAGACCACAGCCUCUGCUUCCUCCCGGCCCUGGGUAUCGCAUUGAGACUGGAAGGACUUUGUACAGCGGAAGGGGCUAAAGGAGCUUGGAGAAGGCUAUGUGCUGUCAGCACCAGGCCUUGGGUCUCAGGUACACCAACUUUCUCCACUUUCUGCAUCUUGUCAUCUGAGUGAUUUGUGUUGUCCUUUUCACAGUCAUUGUAUCACAGGGUGAGCAGUUGACCCACCUCCCCAGGCUUCUGACUGGCUUCUCUGU